GAUGAACGCUGGCGGCGUGCCUAAUACAUGCAAGUCGAGCGAACAGACGAGGAGCUUGCUCCUCUGACGUUAGCGGCGGACGGGUGAGUAACACGUGGAUAACCUACCUAUAAGACUGGGAUAACUUCGGGAAACCGGAGCUAAUACCGGAUAAUAUAUUGCACCGCAUGGUUCAAUAGUGAAAGACGGUUUUGCUGUCACUUAUAGAUGGAUCCGCGCCGCAUUAGCUAGUUGGUAAGGUAACGGCUUACCAAGGCGACGAUGCGUAGCCGACCGGAGAGGGUGAUCGGCCACACUGGAACUGAGACACGGUCCAGACUCCUGCGGGAGGCAGCAGUAGGGAAUCUUCCGCAAUGGGCGAAAGCCUGACGGAGCAACGCCGCGUGAGUGAUGAAGGUCUUCGGAUCGUAAAACUCUGUUAUUAGGGAAGGACAAAUGUGUAAGUAACUAUGCACGUCUUGACGGUACCUAAUCAGAAAGCCACGGCUAACUACGUG
rnacentral:rRNA from 1 species